rnacentral:rRNA from 1 species
AAUGAACGUUGGCGGCGUGGAUUAGGCAUGCAAGUCGAGCGAGAACCCCGCAAGGGGGGACAGCGGCGCAAGGGACAGUAAUGUGUAGAUCAUCUGCCCUCAGGUCCGGGAUAGCUGCGGGAAACUGCAGGUAAUACCGGAUAACAUCUCCGGAUCAAAGGUGUGAUUCCGCCUGAGGAUGAGUCUGCAUCCUAUUAGCUAGUUGGCAGGGUAACGGCCUACCAAGGCAUUGAUGGGUAGCGGGUGCGAGAGCACGACCCGCGUCAUUGGGACUGAGACACUGCCCAGACACCUACGGGUGGCUGCAGGCGAGAAUCUUCGGCAAUGGGCGCAAGCCUGACCGAGCGACGCCGCGUGUGGGAUGAAGGCCUUCGGGUUGUAAACUACUGUCAGAGGGGAUGAAAUGCAGGUGGGUUCUCCCAUCUGUUUGACAUAGCCUCAGAGGAAGGACCUGCUAACUACGUGCCAGCCGCCGCAGUAA